UACAGAGACUGCAAGCGUUACUCGGAUUCACUGGGCGUAAAGGGAGCGCAGGCGGAUCGGUGUGUCGGAUGUGAAAUCCCGGGGCUUAACUCCGGGGCUGCGUCCGAAACUGCCGAUCUAGAGAUUCGGAGGGGCUAGUGGAAUUCCUGGUGGAGCAGUGAAAUGCGUAGAUAUCAGGAGGAACACCAACGGCGAAGGCAGCUAGCUGGACGAAAUCUGACGCUCAGGCUCGAAAGUAUGGGGAGCAAAAAGG
rnacentral:rRNA from 1 species